UUGGCCUACGGGGCGCAGCAGUAGGGAAUCUUCCACAAUGGGGGAAACCCUGAUGCAGCAACGCCGCGUGAGUGAAGAAGUCAUUCGUGAUGUAAAGCUCUAUCAGCAGGGAAGAAAAUGACGGUACCUGAGUAAGAAGCCCCGGCUAACUACGUGCCAGCAGCCGCGGUAAUACGUAGGGGGCAAGCGUUAUCCGGAUUUACUGGGUGCAAAGGGAGCGUAGACGGCCAGACAAGUCUGAAGUGAAAAUCCAGCGCUUAACGUUGGAAGUGCUUUGGAAACUGCCGGGCUGGACUGUAG
rnacentral:rRNA from 1 species